rnacentral:rRNA from 1 species
GACGAACGCUGGCGGCGUGCCUAACACAUGCAAGUCGAACGGAACUGUUUUGAAAGAUUUCUUCGGAAUGAAUUUGAUUUAGUUUAGUGGCGGACGGGUGAGUAACGCGUGAGUAACCUGCCUUCAAGAGGGGGAUAACAUUCUGAAAAGAAUGCUAAUACCGCAUGAUAUAUCGGAAUCACAUGGUUUUGAUAUCAAAGAUUUUAUCGCUUGAAGAUGGACUCGCGUCCGAUUAGUUAGUUGGUGAGGUAACGGCUCACCAAGACCGCGAUCGGUAGCCGGACUGAGAGGUUGAACGGCCACAUUGGGACUGAGACACGGCCCAGACUCCUACGGGAGGCAGCAGUGGGGGAUAUUGCGCAAUGGGGGCAACCCUGACGCAGCAACGCCGCGUGAAGGAUGAAGGUUUUCGGAUUGUAAACUUCUUUUAUUAAGGACGAAAAAUGACGGUACUUAAUGAAUAAGCUC